CGGUUCAAAUGCUGCUACUACGCCCCCUCCUCCUUCUUUCUCCAAAAGGGGACCAAACCCAACCCUAAAAGGUAAAAACCCCAUUAGAGCAGAAUAACAGCUAGGCACCCUCACCAUUAUUGGCGCUGUCGUCGCAUCUCCGCCAGCCGCAAUCCCCACUACUCAAGCUCCUCUCCUCUGUCGCCAGGUGACUCGCUUUGCAACUUGUAUCUCUCUCAUUCCUAUUUCGCUGCACUGCCCCUGUUUUGCUGGCACCAUUGCUCAAGCUCGCCUCCUCCAUUGUAAUGCAUCUUGUGUCGCAACUUAUGCGGUGUCGCAACUCGUCUCCUUCAUCUCGUUCGUCUGUCGCAGAUCCCCCGUUCUGCCGCGCUUUCCCCUCCUCCUUCAUUCAAUUUCUUUGAGUAUUCUUGUUUUUCUGAGUUAAUUUCUUUGAUUAUUGACUGUUGUUAACAGGAAGAAUUGUUGAUUGUUGUUUUUGUUGAGUUACUUACUAUUGUUUUUUUUUCAAAUUUCGGAGUUAAUUUUUUACUUUGAUCUGAAUUUUUGUGCUAUUGAUCUAAUCUCGAAAUUUUGUUCUCAAUUAGUUGUACAUAUUCUUCAUGUUAAUUAUAUUUUUGUAUUCUUUUAUGUAAAAGCUAAAUGGACUUUGGUUUUUUCAUAGUGAAUAAAAUGAGAUUUUGAUCCUACAUGCAAUGUUCUAAUGUUACAGUGAACCCAAUCCAUCAUUGAAGGACAAAAUGACUUUAGACUCAAUAGCUAAUUCUGUUGAGCAUUUGACCCAAAUAGUCCAAUCUCUUGUUUAACUAUUGGAAAAUAAUGUCAGCUCUCCCUCUAAGGUGUUUAAGGUCUUUGGUUCUAAUUCUAAGACUCUUAACUAACAAAGUAGUGCGUCGAAUAAUCUAUUGUUGCUAUGGUGUAUUGAGAAGGCCAAGACAGAUCUCUCCAUUGCUAAAAAAAGGAGAACAGAUUCACUUGCUCCAAUCAAUAUUCCUGGAUUAGAGCUACCUAGUUGGGUGCAAGUCUGUUUUAGACCAACAGCUUCAAUGGGUUUGGACGAAAUUGAACUUGCAAUUGCAGUAUACUUGUAUGGUAAUCAUUUGAUGGAUAACUACGAGGAGGAUAUAGUAUUUUCAGAGCUUACAGCUCGUAGAGAUGUAUUCAGGAGCUUGAUGCCAGGAAAGUCAAUUGUUUCUCUUGUGCUAGACUUAGUAGCAGAUAUGAUGAGGAUAGAGUUGACCAGAGAAAGUGGUUAUUGGUUUUUACCCACAACUUUUGCAGUCAGUAUAUAGGAGUGUAUACUAAAAUAAUAUUGGUAGUUGUUAUUUGUAUUGCGCAUAUAAACUAGUGGCUGAAAUAAUGUAGCUGUCAGAGAAGACAAAAUUGGAUCCCUACCAUCUACCGUCUUGUAUCACGUAUGUUUAUUUGGGCGAAGUUGACUGCUUAAAAAGAGUCUUUAUCCAUGUAUCUGAAACUAUUGACGAAGGUCAUGAACACUGGUACCUCAUAGUGAUUGAACGUGUUAAAAGACAAAUCAUUUUGCUAGACCCAUUUUCCAUUGAGAAACACAGUUCAAGCGAAAGAGGACAACCUUGAAAUUAGCCAUUUAUUUGGACGAGGUAUUGGAAGAUCGUUCAUUCUAUGACUUUAAGACCACUCCAAAUCUGAUUUCUUCACAGUUUGAAUUUGAAGAGCCAGAAGGCCUUCCCAACCUCGAAGCUGGGUCGAAUGACGCGGGUGUGUGGGUUGCAAGUUGGAUGAUAGCUUGUUUUGAAGAUGAUCAUUUUAACAUAAAGGUGGAUGAUGGAGUUCGCAUGAAGAUUGAAUUCUCACUCGUGUCAAAGAAUCAUAAUAUGAUCAGCUAUAGGGUCAAAAGAAAUGCCAUUGAAAAUCUUGAUAAGUUGAUGGAAGUUACGGGUUCCACAGGAAGAGUGAGCAAUAAUCUAAAUCUAGAAAUUGUUAAUGCUUUGAACACUCAAUCAAUCAAGGCAUUGUAGACGAUGAAUCCAGUGCUGCUAUUGGCAUAAUGUUUCUUGAGGAAGGUGACACAUGCAGAAAAUGUAUUGCCGUUUUGGUAGGCCUUUCUAGUCAGCUUAAUUCCUCAGAAUUUAUUGAUUCCAUGAAAACAACAAUGUCUUGUCUGAAUAUGCGGCAAGUUGAAUUUUGCACAAGGACCUGUCAAAUACUAUAUUAUUUUGUAUAUAUUACGAGUCUUGAAAGAAACAUUACUCGUUAUAGCUAUUUAUCAUUUAGGUCAUUAGUUGAAAUCCAUAGAAGUUUUAAUUUUAAUGAUUACCAUGUAGUUCUUCUUGGGUGAUCUGUUCUUUAAUUCUGUGGUAACUGACCUUAAGUAUUAGUAUGAAUGAGAUCAUAGAUUUGUUGAAAACAAUCUCAAUAUGAUGAA